ACGGAGUAACCCAAUGGUCUAACUCUAGAGGAUACAUAUUUGCUUCUUCAUUUGAUUUAAUUCAUUUUUGCUGAUCAAUUCUUUUACUAUGAAGGAUUCAGAUUUUGUGAAGUAACGUUCAAUAUGAUUGAAUUACAAAAGAAAGAGAAAGAGGAUGCUAAUGGAACCAAAAAGCAGAAAAACACAACGGAGAUAAAUCUGAAAAGGACCAAGGGGUAUUUGUUAGGGGGAGUCCAAAAUGCAAAGUGGACAAACAAAGGAGAGCAAAGGGAGUAAUUCGAAACUUCCAUUCAAAGAUGGAAAAGAUGCAGAUUAUCACGUGCAACAAGGAAUAUGAGAGUAUACAAUGAAAAGUUCAAAUACCGUUGAAUUCACCAUUAUGUCACUCGAUAAAAAUCAAGAGAAAAGUUGUAAGGAGGUGAUAUAGAAUGAGAGACCUAAAGAAUAUAAUGAAAGCAUAAAUGAAAAGGAGCAAAAUGAUUCUCGAGAGGAGGAACCACUUGAACAACUACAACAAGAAGAAGACGAUAUCAACAGUGAGUGGGAGCAUAAUAAUAUCACAAGUAACAAUAGUCUCCCGGAUAAUACUGAUCAUAUUUGAAAAUACAACAUCACCAAUAUUGGUUCGAAACAUCCCACAAUUGAUGAAAAAGAUCAAAACUACUACCGCUUGAUGCAAGGUCUACCAAGGAGCACAAAAUUCCGCUCCAUUAUUAACAUAUACAAGCAUACAAAGAGACUCGCAUCCCCUGAAGAGGAAUAUAAUUGGAGUCGUCCAAGUACUUUAGAGAAUCAGAAAUCCAAAGUACACAAUGAAAGCAACACAAGAAAGGAUCAAGUAAACACUUUCGAGGAGAUAGUACCUGACAAACAAAAACAAAAUUUAUACUGGUGAGCCUAAGCUCAACAAAGUAACAAGUGAAGAUAGUCUUUCGAAUAAUUCUGAUUGUUUUAAACAAUAAUGACAUCAAUUGUGGCUCAAAACUUUUGACAAGAGAUGAAAAUGAAGAAAACUAUCGUAUCACGCAAGGAAUACCUAGAACUUUAAAAUUUCAUUCCAUCAGCGAGCUCUACAAGUGUACUACUAGGCUCUCACCUGUUGUUGAUGAAUAUAAUUGAAAUCUUCUGAGGUGAUUACUACUUUUGUCCAUAAAAUUUUCCUUACAAAAAUAAUGAAUUGGCGUGCAUUUUUAUUGACAAUCAGUUUCGUCACUACUUUAUCGAGCAUUUUGCGACAAAUCAUUAUUUGUCUUUAAAUUUAUUUAAGUUUCGAUAAGAAAUAUGUCAUUUGUAUUCUAAGAAAAGAAAUUCAUGUAGGAUAAGUAUGGUUCUCAAGUAGGAAUCUAAGAAAAAUUAUGUAGCUGUACAAAUAUCCCUACUGUGUACGAAAAUAAAUAAUGAGAAAAGCCACAAUUUCUACCUCUAUUUUUUGUUGAAUAAUUUUUCAAAAUUAUUCUCUACAAUUUUGUAUUGAGUGAAAUAUGAAUUUCAACAAUGCCAACGCAUAGUUUUUUGGAAUUCAUAUUUCGAGGACACAAUCCUUAUGAGUUUUAUGCUUUCUUCCAUGACUUUUUGUUUCUUAAGUUUGGGUGAGCUAGGGCUUGUCCUAAGCCUCCAUCGAAGUUAGUAGAGGCAUUCUUAGACCAUGGUUAUGUAGUUCCGGCUAUUCUGAUGUUAUGUUUUGAGGUUCCUCUUCUAUUGAGAUUGCUAUGAUAAGAUUUAUCUUUCGCAUUUAUAA